rnacentral:lncRNA from 1 species
GGAGGUUCCUGGUGUCCCCAGAGGGUCCCCGGGGUGGGGACUCGGGGCUGCCUGUCCCUGUCCCUGUCCCUGUCCCUGUCCCGGUGCCAGCCCUGUCCCUGUUCCCAUUCCCGUUCCCAUUCCCGUUCCCGUUCCCAGCCUGCUGCUGCCGGACCCCGCCGUGUCCCCGGAGCUGGCCCGCGACACCGAGCCCGAGGAUUGCUGCUCAGCCGGCAGUGACCCCGAGCCCUCGGGCCGGGCGCGGCCGCUGCAGGAGCUGCUGGAGGAGCCGCGCGGGGCCGGGGCCGCUGACACGGGGGACGCUGACCCCAGCCCGGGGGACCCCGACCCCGACCCCGGCCCCGGCCCCGGCCCGGAGGGUCCCGACCCCGGCCCGAGCGCCCCCACGUGCCCAGGGACUGCUGGGGUGGCCGAGGCAGCGCUGGAGGACGUGGAGACCCUGCGGCUCCUGAUUGUCCGGAGGCUCCGGCCGGGCCGGGACCCCGACCCCGAGGAUGGACAGACGCCCACGGCCGGACAGGGCAGUAACCCUCCAGUGUCCGGCCGGGAAUUCCCAACGUCCGGCCAGGAAUUCCCAGUGUCCAGCCAGGAUUCAGUGAUGUCCAGUCAGGAAUUCCCAAUGUCCAGCCAGGAAUUCCCAACGUCCGGCCAGGACUCGGCCAUGUCCGGCCGGGAUUCUGGGAUGUCCAGUCGGGAAUUCCCGGUGUCCAGCCAGGACUCGGUGAUGUCCAGCCAGGAUUCCGGGAUGUCCAGCUGGGAAUUCUCAGGGUCCGGCCGGGAAUUCCCAACGUCCAGCCAGGACUCGGUGAUGUCCAGUCAGGAGUUCCCGGUGUCCAGCCAGGACUCGGCC